AGUGAUUCAGUCAUCGUCUGAUUCAGUCAUCGUCUACCCUUUGGAGUCCCGAAUCUUCCUCUCGUUUCUUUGUCCUCCCUACGUGUUCACCAAAGAUGAAGCCAAGCCCCUCUUCCCCACUAGCAGCGAACCUCUCCUCUGCUUAGCCAAUCCUGUCCCCUUCUCUUUCCCCACAAGAGGUGUCCACGUCCAUGGCGCGGGAUGGCCAAUCCUGCCCCCCCGAGUUCUCCAUGUCUUACAUCAGUGCCAUCUCUAGAUGCGAUGCAGAGCAGGUGGUGGCGGGAGGGAGAUGCGAUGCAGAGCAGGUGGUGGCGGCCUGGCGGGAGGGAGAGGCCAACGAGGUCCGCCUACUCCUACUGCUUCCCUGCGGGGUCAUCCGUUGUCGCCGGCGUGUGCGUUCGCGUAUAUGUUUUUCCGAUGUUCGCGGCGUUCACGGUGACGUCGCCGGCUGCCCACAACUCCCUUUGGGGCAUGUUCUCUCCUCUCCCCUACAAGUGCCCUGUGUGUAACGGCGCGUGGCGCGGCGGGCAGCGACGACGGUGGCGCUGGUGGGCCAGCCAAUGGUGAGGAAGGACUUCACCUGUCGCGGAGAUACCGCGGCCCGUUGUUCCGGAAUUCCCCCUCGGGUCGUGAAGCCGACGGGAGCAGUACCACGACGGCUGCGAGCACUUCUGGCAUGCCAGCCAUGCCUUCUCCUCCUCCAUCUCCUCGGUCUGACGACGUCGAGCUCCUCCAGUGCAGCGUUCAUCCAGCGAGGUCACUCGGUCAUCGCCGCCCUCACCGCACGAAUUUUGGCUUCGGCCGUGGUGCCAUCGUCCUCUUGUGUGGUGAGUGUGCUCGACGGCCAGUUCAGCAGAGAGAUUCUCCAUGGUAGCGUGAUGCUCGACAAAAUUUCUUCUGUUGGAAAUUGAUGCCAUGGAAGAUGCAUACAGUUGGUGAAAUAAUAGUCCCCUUAGUUCUUGCUAUUGGUCAAUUUUCUGCUGGAUGGACAUCACACUGUGUUCACUUUUGGACUGAAUGGUAGACCUUCAUGCCCACGACUCACUACUGACAAUGUGGGAAUUUAUGCCCCUGCUGGUUGUUCUGAGGAAUUAGUAUUUGGGUAUGUGUUGGACCAAAUGUUUUAACGAUGGAUGCCAGUUCAGCUACAAUUUUACAUUUGUUAUGGACUCUCACAAGAGGGGAAUUUGCCUAGUACAGGAAAGGCAAGGUCCACGACGACAUGAUUACCCUGUUGGAUUCAAUAGCAUCAGGAGUGAAGAAUCAAGAUGUCGUAAAUACCUUGAUUACAAAUAUGUCUGCUGACACACGACUUUACAUAUCCCCAAUUGCAUCAAAUAGAAACCUCAGCGGUUGGCAUGUGCAGUUAUUGGUGGUUCAUGUGAAGCUGGCUCUAGAAGGCACAUAUAAUUUGAACUCUUAUCAACGGAAAGUGAUUGUAAUGUCUUCUUUUGAGUAGAUAUCUCUAAUUUAUUCCAUGGUGGUUACUGUAGCCUUGGCGACUAUAGAGCUUUCUUUACCUUUUACCUACUCUUCACUUCUUGGUUAUUCUUUUCUUUGUAAAGCAAAACUGUUAAUCGUGUGGUGUUGAUCUUGCAUGCAUUACUUCAUGUAGGAUCCGAUCUGAGCAAUGGAAGGGAUACUGCUGAAGUACGUGUCCUUGAACUCUUAUCAAUGGAAAGUGAUUGUACCGCUGGCUGGGACCUAGGAAUUGUGAGUUCGGAUUUAAGGGUUCCUUUAAAAUUCACUUUUCAUUUACUGAUAGGUUACUAAUAAAUUACACCAGAUGCAGCAAUAUACAUCUCCAGGGUUUAUUUAGACUUUAGAGUCUUUUAUGGUUUAUGUAAUAAUGGUCCAGUGAUAUUCCCACCAACCAACAUUUAUAAAAUGCAGCACCGUUGAUAGAUUAUUGGUUGCCACUGAAGAUUUCAGUGAUUCAUAGUCCCACUAUGUUAUCAAAUUUCUUUUACUAAAUUCAGGUAUAUGGUAAGACCAAUUAGCUACUGUAAUAUUGAGUACCUCUAAUGAAGUAAUACCUCAACUACUGUAAUAUUACGUGGCUUUGUAUAAUCGAAGAUCCCCUGUCUUAGUUUUUCCACCAUGCCUGCUAGACUAAGCCAUCAUUCUCGUCUCCAACGACUACUGAAGUCUCAGAAACUAGGCAAUGGCAGACAUUCAUCUUACCAUCCUACUUUACUGAUUUGUCAUCAAGAAUAUGUUCUGAUUUGGGCAAGUAUCUAUGCUCUGUUGUGAUCUCUUUGUCUAGGCCAAGUC